AUUGAACGCUGGCGGCAUGCCUUACACAUGCAAGUCGAACGGCAGCGCGGACUUCGGUCUGGCGGCGAGUGGCGACCGGGUGAGUAAUACAUCGGAACGUACCCUGUUGUGGGGGAUAACUAGUCGAAAGAUUAGCUAAUACCGCAUACGACCUGAGGGUGAAAGUGGGGGACCGCAAGGCCUCACGCAGCAGGAGCGGCCGAUGUCUGAUUAGCUAGUUGGUGGGGUAAAGGCCCACCAAGGCGACGAUCAGUAGCUGGUCUGAGAGGACGAUCAGCCACACUGGGACAGAGACACGGCCCAGACUCCUACGGGAGGCAGCAGUGGGGAAUUUUGGACAAUGGGGGCAACCCUGAUCCAGCAAUGCCGCGUGUGUGAAGAAGGCCUUCGGGUUGUAAAGCACUUUUGUCCGGAAAGAAAUCGCGCUGGUUAAUACCUGGCGUGGAUGACGGUACCGGAAGAAUAAGCACCGGCUAACUACGUGCCAGCCGCCGCAGUAAAAC
rnacentral:rRNA from 1 species